rnacentral:rRNA from 1 species
CCCCUAGAUGUUCUGGGCCGCACGCGCGCUACACUGAACAGUUCAACAAGUCUUAACCUUGGCCGAUAGGUCUGGGUAAUCUUUGAACGCUGUUCGUGAUUGGGAUAGACCUUUGCAAUUAUGGGUCUUCAACGAGGAAUUCCUAGUAAACGCAAGUCAUCAGCUUGCAUUGAUUACGUCCCUGCCCUUUGUACACACCGCCCGUCGCACCUACCGAUUGAAUGGUCCGGUGAAAUCUCGGGACGGCGGCUUGGUCGCUUGCGUCCGACUGCUGAAACUUGAUUAAACCAUAUCAUUUAGAGGAAGGUGAAGUCGAAACA